rnacentral:lncRNA from 1 species
AUGCACCCUCUGUAUGGCAGCCAUUCCUUUAGUGACAAAAGUAGUAUCUCUGAGAAUCUUCCACAGAAGCCUGGUGAUCAUUUAUCUGGGGCUGCAGAUGAAAAAGGAAACCAUACAGGAAAUACACAAGUAGAAGAAUCAUCUGAGAAAUGUCUUCACUUGAAGGUACUAACUUUAUAUUUAUAUCUUGAAUUAACUACAUGCUUCAUGAAAUACAUAGUAUUUAUUACAUAUCUCAUUUCAAACCCCAUUCAGCCUGCCAUUGAAAGGAAACAUCCCGUUCAGAAAAAAGCAGAGUAGCAAAGGGAGAUUUAUGGACAUGCAACUCAGGUAAAUUUUGCAAUAUAGAUCACUCUGGAAAGUACAGUACAUUA